GCAGAGCACUCCUACGGGAGGCAGCAGUGGGGAAUAUUGCACAAUGGGCGCAAGCCUGAUGCAGCAACGCCGCGUGAGUGAAGAAGGCCUUCGGGUUGUAAAACUCUGUCCUAAGGGAAGAAACAAAUGACGGUACCUUAGGAGGAAGCCCCGGCUAACUACGUGCCAGCAGCCGCGGUAAUACGUAGGGGGCAAGCGUUAUCCGGAAUCACUGGGCGUAAAGGGUGCGUAGGUGGCCUGACAAGUCAGGGGUGAAAGGCAUUGGCUCAACCAAUGUAAGCCUUUGAAACUGUUGGGCUUGAGUGCAGGAGAGGUAAGUGGAAUUCCUAGUGUAGAGGUGAAAUUCGUAGAUAUUAGGAGGAACACCAGUGGCGAAGGCGACUUACUGGACUGUAACUGACACUGAGGCACGAAAGCGUGGGUAGCGAACAGGAUUAGAUACCCUUGUAG
rnacentral:rRNA from 1 species